rnacentral:lncRNA from 1 species
AGGGCUGGAAAAGGCUUUUGCUGUCGUGUCCAGGUGGGAUCAGAGGCUGGAAACCCAACAAGGCACUUUCUCAUCCUGGAAAAGCACCGCAGGCCCCUGUUCCUCCCCGAGUGACAGCCCUGCCAAGGCACUGUCACACAUCCCCAGGCAGCAUCGGAGGAGCAGGGAGAGAUGGCAGUGAAUUUGCAUUAAAAAUGGUCACGUUGGCAUUUGCUUCGUGGUGAACAUCGCUGCUCUUCAAAGCAGCACACAUUUUCACAGGGAAGAGGAGAGGAAGGAGCACACUGUCCCAGAGGAGAAAACUCGAGGGAGCUCCAGUUUGAGAAAUCCCAGCGAGUUCAGGGGAUUAACACGUGGCCUUCCAGGCGGGGAUGUUGGAGGCAAAAUCCUUGGGAAAUGCCAGAGCUCUGCUAACAGGUUUGUAAAUGGAGGUGCUUUGCUUUAAAAGGGGAUAUUUAUUAGGUGUGCCGGUGGAAUGAAAACAAGCACAGAUGGGGGAUAAAUCUCCCUGAGCAGCAGUGCAGCACUCCCGGAUCGCUCAAUAA